UAGGGUAGCUCAGUUGGUAGAGCAUGAGACUCUCAAUCUUAAGGUUGCGGGUUCAAGCCCCACAUGGGGCAAAA